GACGAACCGUGCGACCGUUAUUCGGAAUCACUGGGCUUAAAGCGCGUGUAGGCGGGGCGGCACGUCGGUCGCUGAAAUCCCCCGGCUCAACCGGGGAAGGGGCGCCGAUACGACCGGCCUGGAGGGACGUAGGGGGAGCUGGAACUUCCGGUGGAGCGGUGAAAUGCGUUGAGAUCGGAAGGAACGCCCGUGGCGAAAGCGAGCUCCUGGACGUCUUCUGACGCUGAGACGCGAAAGCCAGGGGAGCGAACGGG
rnacentral:rRNA from 1 species